UACAGAGGCCCCAAGCGUUACUGAGAAUCACUGGGCGUAAAGGGUGCGUAGGUGGUGAGGUAAGUCGGAUGUGAAAUCUCCGGGCUCAACCCGGAAAUGGCAUUGGAAACUACCUUGCUGGAGGAUUUGAGGGGGGAUUGGAAUACUUGGUGUAGCAGUGAAAUGCGUAGAUAUCAAGUGGAACACCAGUGGCGAAGGCGAAUCCCUGGAAAAUACCUGACACUGAGGCACGAAAGCUAGGGGAGCAAACAGG
rnacentral:rRNA from 1 species